AGGACGAACGCUGGCGGCGUGCUUAACACAUGCAAGUCGAGCGGAAAGGCCCUUCGGGGUACUCGAGCGGCGAACGGGUGAGUAACACGUGAGUAAUCUGCCCCUAGCUCUGGGAUAGCUCCGGGAAACCGGGAUUAAUACCAGAUACGACCACUUUAGACAUCUGUUGUGGUGGAAAGAAUUUUGGCUAGGGAUGAGCUCGCGGCCUAUCAGCUUGUUGGUGAGGUAACGGCUCACCAAGGCGACGACGGGUAGCCGGCCUGAGAGGGCGACCGGCCACACUGGGACUGAGACACGGCCCAGACUCCUACGGGAGGCAGCAGUGGGGAAUAUUGCGCAAUGGGCGAAAGCCUGACGCAGCGACGCCGCGUGGGGGAUGAAGGCCUUCGGGUUGUAAACCCCUUUCAGCAGGGACGAAGCGAAAGUGACGGUACCUGCAGAGAAGCGCCGGCUAACUACGCGCCAGCAGCCGC
rnacentral:rRNA from 1 species